rfam:Glycine soja cultivar W05 scaffold3598_10, whole genome shotgun sequence.
UUCUUAUUGGAUGAUGAUUGUCACGUGUCAUGUUCUGAUUGAUCAAUGAUAACAAUAAUGUAUUUUAUCUUCCAUGGAUUCAAGAUUCAAUUAGAACAUGACACGUGACAGUCAUCAUUA